GCACUUAGCCCGCGAGCACCUGGAUCGGGACAGACCUUUAACCCCGGCCCCCCCCCCCCUCCCAAGCCGAGUCCCUGCGAACCGCUGCGCCCUCCGGCAGCGCGAGAAGCUGAGUGGGGGAGGGGUGCGCGGGUCAGCCCGUCCCGGCCCAGCUGUCCCAGGGGGCGAGCCGGGCCGAGGCUGGAAACAGCCCGGACAGCCUGGUGGCCGGCCCCGGGGGUGGGGGCGGGGCCGUCACGGACCCUCCCCCGCCCCCGGAGCACUGGGCGCCCCGGCUCCGAAAUUCCGGGGACGUCGGGGGAUGGAACAGCACUUUGUUUCCAAACAAAGGACCCCAGGCUUGGAACUGGAAGGCCUUGGAGAGGUGGGGUCGGGCCUCCCCGCCCCCUCCCGUACAUAGGGACUUGGCCAGUGGGAAAGUCAGCACCUGAACCCAGAGCCCCGGCCCGGCAGCCUCCCGGAGCCCUCCGCCCCUCCCCUCCCCUCCCCUCCCCUCCCUUUCCCCUCCCCCCGGCUUCCCAGGACCAGGAAGGCCACGGAGGGAGGGGGAGGAGGGAAAGGCAGGUGGAGGCCUCGCGCAGGCGCAGAGCUCGAAGCGGCCGGCUAAGCCAAGGGGGCGGCGGCCACGGAAACCGACCAGGGGGUGGGGCUUCGGCACCACGGCGGCUGCCGAUUGGGCGAGGCCACCCGGCGCUGCCCAUUGGAGCAGAGGAGGGCCCGGCCCCCCAAUCCAGGGAGACCCGGCGCGGGCGCCUCCCCCGCACGCCCCGUGCUCCGGCUCCCACCGCUCCCUUCCGGCGGCCGGCCCCCACGACACGGCCCGGCCCGGCCCUGCCUCCCCCGGCACCGGCUACCCCCCCCCUCCCGUCGGCCGGUCGGAGGCUGUGGGGGCACCCAUUCGUCCCCGCCUCCUCCGCCCCCCCGCGGGGCGCUCGGUGUCCUCCUACCCAGAUGUUAGGCCCCCGCCCAGAUGUGCUCCCCCUGCUGCCGGGCCCAGAUGUUUGCCCCUCACCGCCCCCCCCACCCCGGCUCCUAGCCCGGCUCCCUCCCCGGCGUUACUCACCGCCCGAGCGCCGCCCGCUCCCCCUCAGGAGGAGGACGGGGCCGGGGUCGGAGGCCCGGCUGCCCCGCGGCUCCGUGCGGGGCACGCGCUGCCCGCGGCCCUUUCCGCCCCCAAAGAAAAUUAAUCACCAAAAAAUAAUUCCAGAGAAAAAAUGGAGAGUAAAAUCCAAGAUGGCGGCGGCGUCGCCGCAGCACCGCCCGCUCCCUCCGCCGCCGCCGGCAGAGAAAGGAGUCCCAGCUGCGGGCCCGGCUCCCGCCCCCUCCCUCCGCCCGCCCCGCGCGCUCCCGGCACCUUCCCUCCCCCCCCGCGCGCCCCCGGCGGGCCGUCCUCCUCUUGAGCGCGUGCGCGUCCCCGGCUCACGCCUCCUCGGCCCCGGACGUGGGGGGCAGCGCGCGCGCCCCCGGACCUGGCCGUGA
rnacentral:lncRNA from 1 species